rnacentral:lncRNA from 1 species
AUUUGGAUUUUUCUUCUUCGUAGAGUUUUGGGAAGACUGAGGCAAUCGCUGCUGAAGUCAGUAUUGUAAUGGUGAAUCGGGAUUUUUAAUGAAGUGGGUUUGAAUACUCUUGACUGUUUUGUAAAAUCGAGUUACGUCUGUGAUUGAAGGAUUAAAAGGGUGUCUAUAGGAUUGAGUAUGCGGAGUGAAUGAAAUUUAUUGGGUUAAUCUAACAAGACAGUCAGUGGAUACAAGAUCGUAAGUACAAAGCGGUAUUGAAGAUUAACAGUUUGGAUUGUUCGGGGUUCUUUGUAACGUCU